GCCUUCGUGGUGUAAUGAUUAGCACACUCGCCGCGUAUUUGAGAGGUCGAGGUUCGAGUCCCGGCGAGGGCA
rfam:Stegodyphus mimosarum contig137146, whole genome shotgun sequence.